CUCACUAGUCGAGUCGGCCUGCGCGGAAGAUGUAACGGGGCUCAAACCACACACCGAAGCUGCGGGUGUCACGUAAGUGACGCGGUAGAGGAGCGUUCUGUAAGCCUGUGAAGGUGAGUUGAGAAGCUUGCUGGAGGUAUCAGAAGUGCGAAUGCUGACAUGAGUAACGACAAUGGGUGUGAAAAACACCCACGCCGAAAGACCAAGGGUUCCUGCGCAACGUUAAUCGACGCAGGGUUAGUCGGUUCCUAAGGCGAGGCUGAAAAGCGUAGUCGAUGGGAAACAGGUUAAUAUUCCUGUACUUCUGGUUACUGCGAUGGAGGGACGGAGAAGGCUAGGCCAGCUUGGCGUUGGUUGUCCAAGUUUAAGGUGGUAGGCUGAAAUCUUAGGUAAAUCCGGGGUUU
rnacentral:rRNA from 1 species